UAUAUCUCGCUUCUUUAAUGUUAAACGCUCUUUGUACCGUGUUGUAGUAUUGUAUUGUGUGAGUUCCUUUUACACCGAACCACCGAAUUGGUUGCUAGCUUCUGGGCUAGUAGUUGGAUUGUUAGCUUGCCCUUUCAAGGUGCUUAUAUAGUGUACUGCUAACAUCUAAUGUGUUGUGUUGCUGUGCAUUUUUGUUCAUAAAGCUGACCUGUGGUUUUAUAAGCAUUGCAGUAAGACGUGCUUCUGCUUGUUUCAUGUUAGUUUGUAUGCUUACUAGCACGGUUUUUGUAUGUUUUGUUCCCUUAUAAACACACACACCUACCUGCGGUGUCACGUGACAACAAAUAAGACGCCAUAAAUCUGGAUGCGGAUAUUCCGACCUUUGGACUGCACACCUGUAAAGAAUUGUUAUCAUUACCCAACAUUCUGUAGUUGUGAUAUAUUAUUUGUGUUGCAAGGUGCUCACUAAAAAGAGUUACAUCUAUUUAAAAUUGAUUUACAAUGCACUCUGAACCAGUUAAUCGUGGAUCGAUUGUCUAUGUCUGCUAAGGCCGAAAGGGGAGCUCAUGGCGGCGGCACUCCAUUCUGGAUGAGGAUGCCAUCUUGUCCGGCCGUCCUUAUUCACAUAUUUCCCCCUUUUCAGGAAGAAAGAGAAGAUGUGACUUCAAUAGAAAUCAGUGCCAGGGCCUCCAGGGGGCGCUGUGGGCUUCUCCUCACAGGAAGACUGAAUCUGCUGGAAGUGCGUCCUUGCUUGCUCCUUUGACAGGAAAUGCUCCACCUCAUGUGCACACCUUGAGAAACCUCGAUGCACCGGCGAGCCAUCCAAAGACCUGAGUCGCUUCAGGAAGCAAACGGUCACCUCCAGGACGUCUGCUUUCUCCAGCUUGGAGUCCGACUGCUGCGUGAGGAACUCUGGAGCCAGGAGAGACCUGAGCUGCUCGAUGCUGCUGUUGAUUCGCUCUCGUCGUAACUUCUCCACCAGAGGCUUUCUGAGCUGCAGAAGAAGAAACAUGAUGAAUAUGAAGACACUUCUUGUGGAGUUGGUGAGGAGAAGAUGAGGUGAUGAGGAAUCUUCAACAUACCUUGUGUGUGAGUGUCACAUGCUGCUGAGAGUUGCUGAUGGCUGCAGUGAUUGUAGGUGCCAUGGCUGGAUGUGUGUGCUGUCCACAAUGUGAUCUCUACUGGCUUCAUGCCUCCUAUUUAUAGUCCUACAUCUCCAUAUGAAUGUGUGCCUCUGGCUCUGGCUGCACUUUCUCACAGUGGCAGCCAAUCAGAGAGCUGGAUGACACAAAACACCAUGCGGCAUGCUUCGUGCUCUUAUUGCCUGCCUUGGGGGGGGGACAAUAGUUACAUCUCAGGGGAGCAGCUGGACCACUGGGGGGGUUAAAUGAAGCGGAGGGGCUCCCAGUGCUCUGUGUGAAUGUGGGAAAGUGGUGACCCUGUCGAGUGCAGACUUGCUGUUUGAUACUACUUUCACCCAGCACACUCCAUUAUUAUUAUUGUACGGGUGGUGAAUGCUUCCACUGAUGACGUAAAACAGUGAAAAUAAAUUCCUCUGUCCUCCAUCUGUCUAGAGCAGGGGUGGGCAAACUACGGCCCGGGGGCCACAUCCGGCCCACCAAGUGCUGGAAUACUGUUCUUUCCAAAAGUAUUUUAUUUAAACUCAACAUACAACCUGGCAUCAUGGCUUGAGCCAACCUUUUGACCUUAUCAAUUUUGUUAUUUGAUGUGGUCUGUUGUUUACAAAAUGCUCCUGAAAAAAGGGACACAAGCACAUAAUAAUAUUAAUAAUAAUAGUACAUUUAAUUUAAAACACACUUUACAUCAAAUAAAUGAUCUCAAAGUGCACAUAUAGCAAAUUGCAUGACACUUUUACGUGAAAUAUGUGUAAAAAUAUGCAUGUAAAAAUGGACUGUUACAUGUAAUAUAUUAUAUAGUCUGGUACCCCCGUAAAUUCUGUUUAAUCAAUGCAGCCCGCGAGUCAAGAAGUUUGCCCACCCCUGGUCUAGAGCAUCCCACCCCAAAAUGUAGCUUCUAGGCUUCUUUCCCAUGUGCCACCCCUUCAAGAAAGUGGUGGUGGAAUCCUGCUAAUUGUAUAAAUGCUAUACUGUUUGUCUAAAGUCCAUUAUAAAAAGAAAAACAAUACAUUUUUAAAGUAGCAGCUUUAUAGAAUGGCUGUUUACUCCCUACUCUAGCAGGAUACUAAUAUGAAUAUAAAAUAUCACAUAUUUACGUCAAUCCUAACAAACAAUGCGGUAUCAAUAAUCUGAGCAUCUAUUUGAUACUAUAUUUGUUCUUUAUGAUAAUUACACAAUUAUAAAAAUCAACUAUCAAGUCAUACCGCGAGUAGAACAUCCAACAUUCCAGCAUAGUGGAUUUAAUCAAAUUCACUAUUAGCUCAAUAUGUCUCUCACUUGUUGCCCACCAUCCGUUUGGUGGGAACUACUCAUGCACCAAAGGGUGAAAGGUCAGCUGACAUGCAAAACGCUCCCAGUUAGUCGUGGCUAUCGCAGAGUGUGUUGAAUGCGCCGCAUAAUGAGACACACUUCUAUUGUUGCUGCUGUGGGAAAGCAAAGUUCGGCCUCUCACAGACUUCGGCGGGACAAUUGAUGCCGACCUCUGACCCGAAGACACAGACGUGUGUCGGCGUGAUACUUAAACUUUAAAAGUCUCUUUAAAACGAUAAGUUUGAAAGUGAUAACAACAUAGAAAUACGCACACAAAUUAAGAACAUUAAAAUAAAGAACAUUAAACAACAACAUUAAAAUAAAGGAUUCAAUUAAUCAGAAUCAGAAAUUGUUUAUUGCCAGGUAUGAUCAAACACAUACUAGGAAUUUGUUUUGGUGAAGUAGGUGCAGACACAUCUAUUAAAAAUGAAAAUACAAAAUAUACAGAAUUAUAAUAUUAUAUAAUUCUAAUAUAUUAUAUUAUAUAAUUAUAUCAAAUGCAAUUCAGUAAAUCACACAGAAAUACAAUUAAACAUUUGUAGUAUCCACUUAUCAUCAGAUAAAGUACUGCAUAUAAAAAUGAUGUUAAUGUUGCUGGUUUCCAACAAGCUAUGAUGACUACACACUUCCAUACGUAUGUACAUAUUAUGUAUAUGAUGAGUGUGUGAAAGUGCACCCUGAUUUGCAUGGAGGACGCCACCAGCAGGCCUCUAUUCUCCAAAGGGAUUUGGCACACUUCAGGAAACAGUUGCUAGCUUGCUGCUUGGGUCCUUGUGAUGAUUCAAAACAUCUAAAGCCUGAGAGUCAACCAAUAGCGCUCUCUCUCCAUUUCCUCCAGAUGGCUUCUGACGUCAUCCCGUGUGUGUGUGUGUGUGUUUCAACGUAACGUAAUUCAUCUAAAGGCCCCAUUCAGAGUGGCUUUGUGUUUGAUGGACAGCACCAUUCAACGAGGGUGUGUGGGAAAGUGACAUGGAGCUUCUCCUCACCAGCCAUCACACUGCUGCUGGUUGCUGCUGUCUCACUGAUCUUUUUGUUGUAAUGUGAUGCUGCAGUUCUGUCUUAAAUCAAUGCUACCUUCCACAGCAGUUAGCAAGGGAACAAAUGGAGAUAGAAAACACAAACACUAACAACACUAGAUCGAUCAUAUUUUGGUGAAGAUCUAGAUCUUGAAUUAGUUUUCAUAAUGGCGUGUGCUGCUUGAAA